CAGAGUAGAAACCAAUGCGUAAAGUGGUUUGCGGACGGGGAGUUGCCGUGAACACGAAAGGCUUUGCCUGCGGUGUCGGUUUCGCAUCCCGCUG
rnacentral:ncRNA from 1 species